ACGGAAGGCAGCAGUGAGGAAUAUUGGUCAAUGGGCGGAAGCCUGAACCAGCCAAGUCGUGUGAAGGAUGAAGGUAUUAUGUAUUGUAAACUUCUUUAGCAGCAGAGUAAUAAGGGGGUCGUGACCCCCGAUGCAAGUAUGCUGAAAAUAAGGAUCGGCUAACUCCGUGCCAGCAGCCGCGGUAAUACGGAGGAUCCGAGCGUUAUCCGGAUUUAUUGGGUUUAAAGGGUGCGCAGGCGGUUUUUUAAGUCAGUGGUUAAAUCGUGAGGCUCAACCUCAUCACGCCAUUGAUACUGGAAGACUUGAUUGCGGUUGAGGUUGGCGGAAUUCGUCGUGUAGCGGUGAAAUGCAUAGAUAUGACGAAGAACACCGAUUGCGUAGGCAGCUGACCAAGCCGUAAAUGACGCUCAUGCACGAAAGUGCGGGGAUCGAACAGGAUUAGAUACCCUGGUA
rnacentral:rRNA from 1 species